UAUUUUAGAGAAAAGAAACUUGUCGCAACAAAUUCGUAUUAAAAUAUAUCACAUUUAUAAAUUUUGGUACAUUGGUGAAAAAUGAGGAAAAUUUUACAUUUUCUCAAACAGGGUAAGGAAUUUGGUUCCUCGCAUAACUUCUGGCACAGACAUCUGAGGGCAUGGCCGUCCAAAAAGAAAAUGUAGCCAUUGGUGCCAUCUAUCGACCACAGGUUAAAGAUUGGCGAUCCGUUGGAUACCGACCGACUUAUAGCCAAAACUUGGCGCAAAAAUGAGCCUUAGGAAAUUUUCUAAUUUUUAUAAUUUUUUAUUUUUUUUUUAUAUUUUUUUAUUCUGGUUUUUAUUUAAAGCAUUAUUUGAGGGAAAAGAAACUUAUUGCAACAAAUUCGCAAUAAAAUAUAUCACAUUUAAAAGUUUUGCCGAAUUGCAGAAAAAUGAGGAAAAUUUUACAUUUUCUCAAACAGGGUAUGGAACUUGGUUAGAUUCGUUUCAACUUAUUUUUGUUUCAUAACUCUCUCGCACAUUUUCGUUUCAACUCACGUAUUUACUCUUUUUGCGACUCGAUUCACCACGGCUACAUGCUUACACUCAUGAGUGAGUAAGUGAAAACAGAAUCGCUAAAACUCCUCGUGGUGAAUGAACGAAACUCGUUCAAUACAACGUUUCAACUCACUAUCUCAUUCUUAGUCACUUUGCACAUCUCUACCAUGAACCCUGUGCACCCUCCCAAGGAAUCACAUCGCGAUAUUACUUCAUUCCGAAGCGGCAUAUCGGAAUCUAUGGAGGUGGCCUGAAACAGCCAUGACCGGAGAGAAAUUGUGUGACAAAAAAGUUCACUUCUCCAUGUUUCCUUCCCAACCACGUUGCAACGUCGGUGAUCGAAGAAUAGGUCCAUCUCCCUUUCUUCGAGUUGCUCCAAGCCAACUGCCACUUCCUCUUUGACUCCGACUUAACUGCUCCAUCAGCAAGAGGUUCCCCCGAGUGUGCAUUGCGGAAGUCCUUCGCGUCUUCCUCAAGGGUGAUGUAGAGCGGCAUGAUUCCCGCAAUUACGCAUACCGCAUCAUACGAUAUGGUACGAUAUAACACUGGUAUGCACUGUAUGCACGAUAUGCACUGGUAACACGCAUGACCAAUCAUCUGUGUACCUUAUCCACAGCGUUCCGGUUCUGCCUCGCCGACAUGAUGUGCGCCCAUGCUGGGGCUCCGUACCUCACUACGGACGUAGCUACAUUAACAUGGACGAGGUGCUACGAGCACAGCUUUACACCUCUCAUACACCCAUCAAUCCUGCUGACUGCGUCAGUUGCCAGCAUCUCGACUUCCUCGAUCGUUUCGCCGGAUACUGUAACGGCGAUGCCAUCUGCAAACCCGAUCAACUGAGCUCCUGGAGGCAGUGCGAGAGUGAGCACACCAUCAUACAUGACGUUCCACAGAGUGGGUCCAAGAACUGAUCCCUGAACCAAGGGUCCAAGAACAUGAUCAGUUCAUGGAGGGUCAUGAGUAGGGAACAAAUUCCCAAUUAUCCUUUCAAGCCUCAUGGGACAUCGUUCGACAUGGGACAGGCUCUUGACGAGUUUUUACCUUCUGCAUCACUGUCUUGUAAGCGAAACCCCAGGGCUUCCGGGCAAUUUCAGCACUGAGCUCUAGGAGGCAUUUCCUCUUACUGUCUUUAAUUGCUCUACCGUUUCUACUAAACGUGGGAGUUGAACAUACGUUUCCCACAACAAAGUCUAGUCGAGCAAGGCUUUCUAGCACCGCGUCUCCUCUGCUGUUCGUCCGUCUGCUUCCCCAUUCAACUGCCGAACCAUUGAAGUCUCCAGCGAUAACUACUGGGCUUCGCCGCUCGAGCUUUUCCACCAGGCUGUUUAACAUGUCGUUGAAUUUGCUUAGCUGCCAUCUUGGGGGUGCGUAGCAGCUGCAAAAAUAGACUACGGAGAUCAUGGCGAUGACGAACCCCUCGAAGCCGCAGGAUACUACUGUUUGAGUGGGAAAUAAUCCCACAACUCAGAUUGCAGCCAUCUCAGUUUUAUGCAUGACCCAGUUGUUGGUGUCACUUGGUGCAUGGUAGGGUUGUGAUAUAAUGACCACAUCGCCUUUUUCCUCUAUUAUCACCUGCCACAGGAGAUCCUGUGCAGCCUCACAGUGGUUCAGAUUGACUAGGAUUACUUCCAUGCUUUCCGAGCUGCGAGACAACGGGUUCCUCCGACUUGGUGAUCCAAGUUCCUCCGACGGCAUUUUUAAUGAACGCCGUCUGCGUUUCAUUAAACGCCGGUUUCAUCUUUAUCUCAACGUUGGCAUUGCCUAGUUCGAACCGACUUCGCAAAGCGAGUUCGACUGUCUCUGCUGCUGUGACUUCAUCUAUAUCGCGACAUUCGAUUGUCGCCUCGUUGCCACGUACUGUUACUUUCCCCGCUUCUCUCACAGACUCCUGCAGGAGAUCCUUGUAAUCUUCGAGACCUGUUUACCCAGCGUCUGUAGCUUUCUAUCUGUCUUUACGUAAAUAUACGUAAGAUAUCCGCGUAGGAUUAUUUUUCGUUAAGCCCGAUCACUAUGGCUUCUGUUUUCGGACGCACUUGCGGCUUCGAUGAAGGAUAAGUCCUAGCAACAUGUUUAUCUUCUGCGGGUAUUUGUAGCUGCUGUUUUCUCCUUACAACUGUAUUCCACUGAUACUCACUGCUUUCGUCGACCGAGGUCGGCAUUGUGUUCUCUGUGGUAUUGCUCUUCUGCUUCUUUUGUCCUUCUACAUCGGUCUUCGGUAGAAAUCUCCAGUUGAUUAUGCGUCAGGUGAAAACAAC